rnacentral:rRNA from 1 species
UACGUAGGGUGCAAGCGUUAAUCGGAAUUACUGGGCGUAAAGGGCGCGUGGGCGGUACUUCAAGUCAGGCGUGAAAGCCCCGGGCUCAACCUGGGAACCGCGCUUGAGACUGGAGAACUAGAGUUCGGGAGAGGAUGGUGGAAUUCCCAGUGUAGAGGUGAAAUUCGUAGAUAUUGGGAAGAACACCGAUGGCGAAGGCAGCCAUCUGGACCGACACUGACGCUGAGGCGCGAAAGCGUGGGGAGCAAACAGG